rnacentral:rRNA from 1 species
UACGGUAACGGUUAGGUUUACGACGUCCGUCGGCUAGAGGACACGCCGGCGGCGCGCCUAACACAUGCAAGUCGAACGAGUGGAUGGUCUUCGGACCUGAAGCUAGUGGCGGACGGGUGAGUAACACGUGAGGAACCUGCCUCUCAGAGUGGGAUACCGUUUGGAAACGAACGUUAAUACCGCAUAACGUACAUUUGUCGCAUGGCAUUUGUACCAAAGAUUUAUCGCUGAGAGAUGGCCUCGCGUCUGAUUAGAUAGUUGGUGAGGUAACGGCCCACCAAGUCUGCGAUCAGUAGCCGGACUGAGAGGUUGAUCGGCCACAUUGGGACUGAGACACGGCCCAGACUCCUACGGGAGGCAGCAGUGGGGGAUAUUGCACAAUGGGCGAAAGCCUGAUGCAGCGACGCCGCGUGAGGGAAGACGGUUUUCGGAUUGUAAACCUCUGUCUUCGGGGACGAAAAUGACGGUACCCGAGGAGGAAGCCACGGCUAACUACGUG